UUACAUCCGGGUUUCUAUCCUACGCAUGCUCAUAAUGCUACAUCCGCCGUCUCGUGUGUUGUUGGGCUUAAACGCUGCAUACUUAGCAGACAUAUAUUGGACAUUUCGGUCAGGCUUUUUUGGUUAAAUUUUUUUGUUUAAUUUAGCAUACAAAGAGACGUCAUUUAUGCCGUACUGAUUGCGGUGCGACUAGGACAUGAAACAGUGAAUAUCUAGGUGCCCAAGACAGGGCAAUGGCGGCGUUGUGGAACACGGGGAGCGUGUGAAAAAACUGUUGGAGUCAGUUACUUGUGACUUUUGAACUGUAGACCUCUUCGAGCCUGUGAAGAGAUUACCUGCGACCUUUGUAAUAUUUCCUUAAGAUAAGGGAGAAAACUUAGGCUGAGGAUGGGAGCUUUCCUAGAUAAACCAAAGACAGAAAAACACAAUGAAGGAGGCGUUGGAAAUCGUCUUCGUUAUGGCCUUUGCAGUAUGCAAGGCUGGCGAGUGGAAAUGGAAGAUGCCCAUACAGCUGUCGUCAGCAUCCCUCAUUCACGACUUAAAGAUUGGUCCUUUUUUGCUGUUUUUGAUGGUCAUGCUGGAGCACGAGUCUCUGCUUUCUGCGCAGAAGAAUUGUUGAACCACAUAAUAAAAAAUGAAGAUUUCAAACUAGACCUAACAGAUGGCACAGAAAUUCAACCUUCCAUUGAGGAUGUGAAAAGAGGCAUCAAGACAGGAUUCCUGACCCUUGAUGAAAAGAUGCGACAUAUGCCUGAAGUACUUUCUGGAGAGGAUAAGAGUGGCUCUACUGCUGUAUGCAGCAUUGUGUCCCCACGCUUUAUCUUCUUUGCCAACUGUGGAGAUUCUCGUGCCAUCCUUUGCCGCAAAGGCAAGUGCGCCUUCUCCACUACAGACCACAAGCCAAUCAAUCCAGGUGAAAAAGAACGCAUACAGAAUGCAGGUGGCAGUGUCAUGAUUCAAAGGGUCAACGGAUCCCUUGCAGUAUCCAGAGCACUUGGUGACUAUGAAUACAAGAAUGUAGAAGGCAAGGGACCUUGUGAACAGCUUGUGUCUCCAGAACCUGAGACUUUUGUUGAGGAACGGACUCCUGAUGAUGAAUUCAUGGUGUUGGCAUGUGAUGGCAUUUGGGACGUAAUGACAAAUGAUGAAUUAUGUGCAUUUAUUUCAAGUCGUUUGAAAAUAACACCAAGUUUGGAGGAAGUUUGCAAUCAGGUGGUGGAUACAUGUUUGGUUAAGGGUAGCCGAGACAAUAUGAGCAUUGUUCUGGUAGCAUUUGAAGGUGCCCCUACAGUGUCUGAGGAGGCUGUCAAAAAGGAAAAAGAGCUGGAUGAAAAGAUAGAGCUGAAAAUUAAAGAUAUUCUUCAGAAAGAACCCCAAGAAAACCAUGAUUUCAGCUAUGUUUUACAUGCUGUUGCUGAUGAGUUGGUUGGCCAGUUCCCACCAGGAGGAGGGUUCCAAAGCAAGUAAAAAAAAUACUAUUGAGAGUAUCUAUCAUAGACUGAAGCCCAAUGCUGAUCAUGACAUCAGUGAUCUUUGAUGCAGAGAGUCCCAAAGUUCAGCCAAGGAAUGGAGGACGUACCUUAGGUGCCAAACUUGCAGCUGAAGACACUGUGCAGGAAGAGCAUAGCAUGAGGUCAGAGCCAUGCCCCCCAUCAGAAUCCAAAUUUGUAAUGUCCUUCAGGAGCUGCUUCAUUUCUGUCACCUUCCACUUUCAUUGCCACAUCAUCUUUUGGCGGAAAACGGCAUUGCUGUGCUGUCUUCAUUAAAUGUGGGGGAGAAACAUGGAUAUACUUUGUAUCAUGUUCCUCCAAGACUAGAAAUCAAAAUUGCCAGCUCCUCAUCACACAUGGUUGACAAUAGCGUGAUGAAAAUACUGGUUAAUUGUUGCCUGUUUUCAUUAUAUAUACCAUGUUCUUUCACUCUGUUCUCACAACUAGGGCAUGAUCAGUUGUUUCCUGUUCUUCUUGUCUGCAUCUUUGUCUCCUUUUGUAUUUUUGCAUAUUUAAGUCAGAUAGCUUUUCUUGAUUUCCUUCCUUCCACCUCAGUAUGUUCAGAAUGUUUAAAUUAUAAUUUCUGACAUGAUUAACAAGUUUUGUGGGUGCUUGUUAUGGAUGUAUGUUUUUGCCCAUGGGUGCAUGAAAGAGGUUGAGAUCACAUCCACUCUACACUGACUAAACAAAUGAAUCAGAAAUUGAGUGUGAAAUAAGAAUGCUGUAUUAUGACUGUAUUGUUAUAAUUGAUGAAUACUAAAGAAAUAUGUAUUUAAGUUGUCUCGUUAUUAUAAAAUAACUAAAGUCGUCUGUUGAGUUCUGGUUCAGGGAAUGAUUUGAUUGCUUUUGUCAUUUGGAAACUAGUUAUUCAUUUUAUUAUUUACUUAGCAGGAUGUGUUAGGUUUUUUUAAAAAAUUGUUGACACUGUAUGUGUCCUUUAGUAAUUGUAAUCGAUGAUCUGUAGACUGUGUGUGUGUGUGAUAAAUUUUAGCAGCUGCUCUGUUUGUCACACAACAAUGGCUUCCCCUUCCUGUCUCUAAUCCUUUCUUCUACUGUGUAACGCCACUAUUUUGUUCGCUAUUUUUAAAAGUCGUGUUUACAAGAAGCCUUUGCUGCUACUCAUAAGCAUCUGUUAUAUGAGUAAAGGCACGAGUUUAAUUAGAUUUAAAAAUAAAAGCAUAAAAGUAUUCCGGUGCUGACCUUACUUGAGCGUUUGGUCCAUGCGGGUUUUUGUGUGUGUGUGUGAAUUCAUAUUCUGUUUUUCAUUCUUUCAUAGUAGCCUUUAUGAAAACCACUGUGGAUAUAUGUGUGCUAACCUGACCACCCUAAUCAGAAGUGUGCAGUUCAAAUAGAAUGAGUGAAAUUUCAGGUAUUGAUUAAAAAAAGCAGUGCUAUAGGGUAUUGUUGGAAAUGUAGGUAUAGGGAAUGUGAGAAAGUUACUUCUUCAGUAACGGUCAUCAAUUUUACAGCAUGGAGGACUUUUCAGUCUUUAUUGACAUGUUUGACUAGAACAGCAGGUAGCAAUCAAUUCUUGGCUAUACUAGCAGCCUGAUCUGCUGACCUUGUUAUAUCGUAGUUUUAUUACACUUCCUGGCCGAUUUCUGGACACAUUUUAUUGAAGAAAGCAGAAGGACAGCUCUACAAAUUUUACGUGAAAUCAGGAGCAUGGUAAAAAAGGCUUUGAUUGCCUUUAUUUUGUCAUGACACAUGCCUGGCUAGCUGCUUUGGGAAAUGAGUGCAUUCUCAGACAUGUUUUAGGAGAGACUAAUUCUUGGACUUGUCUCCAGUCCUGUAUAGAGAUGCGCCAUUGAUCAAUGUUUUGGGAUAGGAUUCUUUGGAUGUUAUUCUAGGAGCAACCAGCACUUGAUAAUGAGUUAAGUGAACUAUUACGUCAGCGGUUCUAAGAUGUUUACUUGGGUUGAUGUAAAUAUGGAAACUGGCUUGAAUAGACUGAGUGUAUGCUUUUGAUUAAAGGACAGCUCAAAAAAGGAUUUUGUUGUCUUUAUCGUGCAUAUCUUUUCACAAGAAUUAGCAGUUUUUAGCUUUUGACAACCAUGCAACUGCAACUACCUCUUCAUUUCUAGGCUAUGGCUUGGUCUUGUGAUUAGAAUGCAACUUAGCAGACUGAUUCUGGCUUUCACAGACUAGGAUAAAUUUCUAGUAGAAAAGUUUGAAUAAAACUGCAUUUUCCCAUUCACUGGUUUCAGGAAAAUUUAGAAACAGUAUUCUUUGCAAAAUGUUUGCCUAAAUGUCUGCCUUUCUCUAGUUAUCAGUUUUGCACAAAACUGGCAGCUGCCUUCAGACAACAAUGUUUGUUUGAAGGGUAAGAUGCUGGUUGGAUUUUUGUUUUCUUUCAUAUUUUUGGUUUGGAAAUGAUUAUUGAUGUGCAUGCCUUCUCUUUCUACCUGUUACUAAAGACUGUUAAGAAUAGAUUUGAGAGGACCUGUUUCAAGAGGUGUUAGUGGUUUGCCGGUGAGGCUGAAAGCUUGGCCUGUGUGCAUUCUUCAAAUUGUACAUUUCUUGUAAUGAAUAUGAUUUAGGAAGCUUGGGUUGUGUGGACUUGUUUCCAUAAUGCAAACCCUUAGGAAGACUGCUUUAAGCUAAUUUAUGUUGGCGGCAUUAAAUUACAAAGGUUCCACCAGUGCUUUCUGGUAUAUAGAUAUUACACAUUUGAAAAAAGAGGUUUGUGAACUGUUAUGAUUUAGCUUUAAAACAGUUGUAUCUGAUUGAGAGUAUUAAGAGAGGGCAGUUGAUUGAAGAAACUCAUUUAAAAUAUAUCGUUAAACAGCGCUGGACUAUAAUGUUCAUCAUGGCAAAGGAUUAUUUAAGUAGUGCCAUUUGCUACCACCACAGCGGCACAAUAUUCAUCUUUAAAAGAGCUUACCCCAGAAGAUGUAAGAAUAAUCUGAAGUGCAGCUUGCAUGGCACAUAAAAUGAAAAUUUCAACACGCGCUACCACCAUAGUUGGUGAAUGUCGAUGUGUCUGACGAUGCAUAAACACAGAUAAUUGUGGAUCGAUUAUGUCAGGAAAGACUCAUUAUUUCAAACAGCUCUGCAGUACUGAUGUUUUCCAUUUUCAUGUUAAAGUUUUGUCAGUUGAAGUGACGAAUGUAAGAGAGUUUAACUGCUUUGGUGCACAGUGACUGUUUUGCUUUUGGUGAUGAGAAUGAAGACAAAGUAUUGUGCACUAGGAACACAACCAGAAAAAUCUAUAAAAAAAAAAAAAAGAAAUGCACCUAGAUAUACAUUUUGCAGCUACUUCUUAUUUAACAUACUUCAUGGGAAUACAAUCCUCUUCUGAAACAGCUGCUUUGUGUACAUGACUGGGAAGUACUCAGUUAUAGGAUGUUCAGCAUUAAUCAUGAGAGCUGCAUUAUUUCAGUCUUGUUUUGGCAUCACAUGAAGUUUGAUCAUUUUGUCAAUUGGUGGUGAAAAUUGUGCUGCCGUGAAAUGGGAUAAGAGGUCGUUUAUGCAGGAUUUGUAAUUAGCGAUGCUUUUGUGCAUUAGCCUAUGCUACUGCUUUAUGAUCAUAAUUCUUGGUCUAGAUAAAGCAGCAUAUCUAUCAGUUUAAAUUGUCGUUCUUACUUAAUUAUAUUGCCUUCACAGUCAGAUAAUUAUUUAGCAUCAAGAAUGUAUAUGUUGUUCAUAAACUGCACUUGUUGAAGUUAUCCCCAUUUGGACCUUCUAGGUAUUCAUGCAGUACAUUUGGGUGAAAUCUUUAUUCUGAGGCAUUAUCCAGAUUUGCUAGUUUAGGGACAAUUUUAAUCAUAUAUUUAGUGGGAGGGUAGCAUUUCUAAAUUGUUAAUUCAGGUUUUUGCCAGUUAAGCAUUUGAUCUGCAUUAAGGCUUAUUAGCCAUUUGAGGUUACGAUUUCAUCAGUACAAAUCUAGAUAAGAAGCAUGAGUGUUUAGUACAAAGUAUAUGCACUGUAACAAUUUCACUCAUUAUUUUGGACAUUAAAUGUUUCUGUUUAUUUACCAUCUGUUGGAAAAUUUUGAAGUUGGCAAUAUUUUGAUAGAUUAACCACAAAUACCAAACCAGUGAUUCGGUAUCAUGCAGGGUUUAGUUCGAAGUGUUUUAUCUUUGUAAGUUUGCCUUUAACGUUGCAUAUUUUAACUUUUUUUUUCAUGUUUACUUUCCUACUGAAAAUUGCUUUAGAAGUUUAGAGCUUGAGUAGAUGGGGGUUUAUCUUAAUAGAUGUUUGACAUAUAGUUUCAUGCAAGGUCCUCAUUAUUUCACCAAAUGGGACAAAAUUUAACAUGUAAUGCUAUUGUCUCAUGUUUUUAGAAGUUAACAUGUUUUGUUUGAAUGUUAAUUCCUUGAAUGACAGCAGAAUAUGAGCAUGGAAUUUACAAGGACUACUCUCGUUAGUAUAUUGUCACAUUUGACGUGUCCUGGUUGCAUUAACUUCAAUUGCAGAUAUGUACAGUAUGAUUUAUCCAGGAUUCUGCUGAAAUUACAGAUCAUCUUGGCAAUACUGUACAUGAUAUUUUAAAUCUUGUCUUUGAUUGAUGUAUAGAAUGUUCUGAAUUGCUUCUCAUAUUUAGACUGUAUUCUGACAUUGUGCAUUUCCCAACUAAAAUAAAUAUGACUAGAAAAAUG